AGGUUACUGCUAUCGAGGUCCGACUAAGCCAUGCGAGUCGAAUGUAGCAAUACAUGGCAUACUGCUCAGUAACACGUGGACAACCUACCCUCAGAACGGGGAUAAACCCGGGAAACUGGGUAUAAUACCCGAUAGUUCUGGGAUGCUGGAAUGCUCCCAGGACGAAAGCUCCGGCGACUGAGGAUGGGUCUGCGGCCUAUCAGGUAGUAGUGGGUGUAAUGUACCUACUAGCCUACGACGGGUACGGGUUGUGGGAGCAAGAGCCCGGAGAUGGAUUCUGAGACACGAAUCCAGGCCCUACGGGGUGCAGCAGGCGCGAAAACUUUACAAUGCCGGCAACGGCGAUAAGGGGACCUCGAGUGCCAGGAUACAAUCUUGGCUGUCGUGAUGCCUAAAAAGCAUUGCAUAGCAAGGGCCGGGCAAGACCGGUGCCAGCCGCCGCGGUAACACCGGCGGCUCGAGUGGUAACCGCUAUUAUUGGGUCUAAAGGGUCUGUAGCCGGCCGGAUAAGUCUCUUGGGAAAUCCAGCAGCUCAACUGUUGGGCUUUCAGGAGAUACUGUUCGGCUCGAGGCCGGGAGAGGUGAGAGGUACUUCAGGGGUAGGGGUGAAAUCUUGUAAUCCUUGAAGGACCACCAGUGGCGAAGGCGUCUCACCAGAACGGUCCUGACGGCAAGGGACGAAAGCUAGGGGCACGAACCGGAUUAGAUACCCGGGUAGUCCUAGCCGUAAACGAUACUCGCUAGGUGUCAGCCACGGUGCGACCGUGGUUGGUGCCGUAGGGAAGCCGUGAAGCGAGCCACCUGGGAAGUACGGCCGCAAGGCUGAAACUUAAAGGAAU
rnacentral:rRNA from 1 species